UACGUAGGGACCGAGCGUUGUCCGGAUUCAUUGGGCGUAAAGAGCUCGUAGGCGGCUGCUCAAGUCGAAUGUGAAAACUCGAGGCUCAACCUCGAGCCUGCAUUCGAUACUGGGCGGCUAGAGUCUGGUAGGGGGAUCUGGAAUUCCUGGUGUAGCGGUGGAAUGCGCAGAUAUCAGGAGGAACGCCGGUGGCGAAGGCGGGAUCCUGGGCCAGUACUGACGCUGAGGAGCGAAAGCGUGGGGAGCAAACAGG
rnacentral:rRNA from 1 species